rnacentral:misc_RNA from 1 species
CCCACAUGUCAAAGGUGUUGAAGGCAGAUGAUGUUGAUUUGAUGAUCAUUGCUAGAGGGACUCCUGGGUUCUCAGGUGCUGAUCUUGCAAACUUGGUCAAUAUUGCUGCUCUCAAAGCUGCAAUGGAUGGUGCUAAAGCAGUGACGAUGGCUGAUCUAGAAUAUGCAAAGGAUAAGAUCAUGAUGGGAAGUGAACGCAAGUCGGCUGUAAUUUCUGAUGAGUCGCGAAGGCUAACUGCUUUUCAUGAGGGUGGGCAUGCCCUUGUGGCCAUUCAUACUGAUGGAGCUCUGCCAGUUCACAAGGCAACAAUAGUUCCCAGAGGUAUGUCUCUUGGCAUGGUUGCCCAAUUGCCUGACAAGGACGAGACAAGUAUCUCCCGCAAGCAGAUGCUUGCUCGGCUUGAUAUUUGCAUGGGAGGGCGAGUUGCAGAGGAGCUCAUCUUUGGAGAAAAUGAAGUUACCUCAGGGGCAUCUUCUGAUCUCCAACAGGCAACUAAUCUUGCAAGAGCCAUGGUUACCAAGUAUGGCAUGAGCAGAGAAGUUGGGGUUGUCACGCACAAUUAUGAUGACAAUGGGAAGAGCAUGAGUACUGAGACUAGACUUCUCAUUGAGAAAGAAGUGAAGAAUUUCCUGGAAAGGGCUUACAACAAUGCAAA